UUUCCCUUUAUAUCCCUAUUUUGCAAUUGAUUUUUUGAGGUUUCAACAUGCAUAAUCAGAACUUUGUGUCAUUUUUUUGUUCCUUUCCUUCCUAUGAAGACAAGAUAUGCAUAUUUAAUUGAAGGCUAGUUUGAAGGACUAACGGUUUCUCCUAUGAAUGAUAUUCAAAAAUAACUCCACUAUGGGGAGAGGUGUUGUCAGGAAAUGGCAAAGAAAGUAGCCUAAUGAGUAAUGAGGCUUUUGGCGGCAGUGAUGCCUGAAAUGCUUCUUACAAGUUAUACAUUUCAUGCAGAUCUUAACUACAGUCAAUGCACAUUUGUUCCUAUUUCUUAUUCUCAUUUCUUUUUCUGAAGUAAUGAAAAACUCUAAGAAAUGGGACACAAGAAUUGCAAAUUCUGGAACAGCUUUCAAGAUUAUCUUGUGCAUAAUCCUAACAAGUUAUGAGGCUGAUAUAAUACUGGCCAAAAUUGUGUGCAAUGGCAUCUUCCCUAUGCUGCGAUUCUAUAUUUUAAAUAUCGUAAGCAUUAGAAAGUAUUUCAAUUAGGUAGUA